GCUAUCAUGCAGUCGAGCGACUGAUUAGAAGCUUGCUUCUAUGACGUUAGCGGCGGACGGGUGAGUAACACGUGGGCAACCUGCCUGUAAGACUGGGAUAACUUCGGGAAACCGAAGCUAAUACCGGAUAGGAUCUUCUCCUUCAUGGGAGAUGAUUGAAAGAUGGUUUCGGCUAUCACUUACAGAUGGGCCCGCGGUGCAUUAGCUAGUUGGUGAGGUAACGGCUCACCAAGGCAACGAUGCAUAGCCGACCUGAGAGGGUGAUCGGCCACACUGGGACUGAGACACGGCCCAGACUCCUACGGGAGGCAGCAGUAGGGAAUCUUCCGCAAUGGACGAAAGUCUGACGGAGCAACGCCGCGUGAGUGAUGAAGGCUUUC
rnacentral:rRNA from 2 species